GACGAACGCUGGCGGCGUGCUUAACACAUGCAAGUCGAACGGAAAGGCCCUGCUUUUGUGGGGUGCUCGAGUGGCGAACGGGUGAGUAACACGUGAGUAACCUGACCUUGACUUUGGGAUAACUUCAGGAAACUGGGGCUAAUACCGGAUAGGAGCUCCUGCUGCAUGGUGGGGGUUGGAAAGUUUCGGCGGUUGGGGAUGGACUCGCGGCUUAUCAGCUUGUUGGUGGGGUAGUGGCUUACCAAGGCUUUGACGGGUAGCCGGCCUGAGAGGGUGACCGACCACAUUGGGACUGAGAUACGGCCCAGACUCCUACGGGAGGCAGCAGUGGGGAAUAUUGCACAAUGGGCGGAAGCCUGAUGCAGCAACGCCGCGUGCGGGAUGACGGCCUUCGGGUUGUAAACCGCUUUCGCCUGUGACGAAGCGUGAGUGACGGUAAUGGGUAAAGAAGCACCGGCUAACUACGUG
rnacentral:rRNA from 1 species